GAUGUGAUGAGACUCACUGUAGUUUCUUCAGUUUACAGUGUGGAUCCUCCAGUAGAGCAGAGAGCAGCUUCACUCCUGAGUCUCCUGGUGUAUUACAGCUCAGAUCCAGUUCUGUCAGGUGUGAGGGGUUUGAUCUCAGAGCUGAAAUCAGAGCAGCACAGCCUUCCUCUCCAAUACUGCAGUUAAUCAGCCUGCAGAGAGAGAAGAACAUGAAUGAUCUCUGAGACUGUGUUUAAGAUUUAGUGUGAGAGUGUGUGUGUGUUUGUAUGAGCUCUACUUUUUCUACACACCAGGAUCACUGCUAUAGAGAUUUUAACUUGCCAGCAAAAGCACAAGCUAACUCUACUCACAUGAUUCCUGAUACUGAACUAGUUUAUCAUUAUCAUUCUUCAAACCUUUUGUAGUAUUAUACAUGCAAUAAUGUUAAAAAAUUAAGAAUAACAUUACGGACUUCCGGUAAAAUGGCGGCAUGAGAAGUCGUAAAGUUCUCUGCUCCGCACGUUUCUUGUUUAAUUAUCGACUUAUUCAGCACUUCUUCGGUGACAUCGUUUGAAAUACUAUUCACGACCCUCAGUAGGAAACAUGCCGAGAAACAACGCUAAAAAGAUGGCCGAUAUUACUGAGGUUGCUGGCGAAAUUCAGAGUGUGGACGGGGCCGCCUCGAGUCAGGGGGAUAUCAGGGAACUCCUUGGCGGGAUUAGAUCUGAGGUAGCGGCGCUCAGAGUGGAGAUCCUUGCAGAGCUUAAAUCAUCUAUCUCUGCGGUGAAAACUUAAUUAUUAGAGCAAGAACAGAAACUGAAGGAUGUGGAAGAAUCCCUUACCGACGUGGAUGGUCGCGUUACUGUCCUGGAAUCUACCUGCUCAGCGCUAUCGAAAGAUAACGAAAAACUGAGGGCCAAACUCGAUGACUUGGAAAAUCGAUCCAGGAGGAACAAUAUUCAUGUGAUCGGUAUCCCCGAGGGCUCUCAUCCUUCUGCAUUUAUUGAAGCACUGGUUCUCGAGGUAUUCGGUGAACAGAGAUUCGCCAAAAAGUCGGAAGUGGACAGGGCUCACCGUUCUCUAGCUCCCCCAGCCGAAAGCUAAUCAAGCCCCCAGGCCGUUCAUUGUGCGAUUGCAUCACUACCAGAUGAGGGAAUUGAUUCUCCGUUUGGCACGAGGAAAGGGACAGGUGUUAUACAAAGGAUCGCGUAUACACUUCUACCCAGAUGUAAGUGCUGAUGUUGCAAAGCGGAGAGCGGCAUUUAACCAGGUAAAGGCUGAACUCAGAGGAGCGGGAAUUGAAUUCGGCCUCCUUUUCCCUGCGCGUCUACGGAUCAAUCAUGACGGAAC